rnacentral:tRNA from 1 species
GGAUAUAGCUCAGUGGUAGGGUGCAUGCUUAGCAUGUGCAAGGUCCUGGGUUCAAUCCCCAGUACCACCA